rnacentral:rRNA from 1 species
GAUGAACGCUGGCGGCGUGCUUAACACAUGCAAGUCGAACGGAAAGGCUCCUGCUUGCAGGGGUACUCGAGUGGCGAACGGGUGAGUAACACGUGGGUGAUCUGCCCUGCACUUCGGGAUAAGCCUGGGAAACUGGGUCUAAUACCGGAUAGGACGAUGGUUUGGAUGCCAUUGUGGAAAGUUUUUCGGUGUGGGAUGAGCUCGCGGCCUAUCAGCUUGUUGGUGGGGUAAUGGCCUACCAAGGCGUCGACGGGUAGCCGGCCUGAGAGGGUGUACGGCCACAUUGGGACUGAGAUACGGCCCAGACUCCUACGGGAGGCAGCAGUGGGGAAUAUUGCACAAUGGGCGCAAGCCUGAUGCAGCGACGCCGCGUGGGGGAUGACGGCCUCCGGGUUGUAAACUCCUUUCGCUAGGGACGAAGCGCAAGUGACGGUACCUGGAGAAGAAGCACCGGCUAACUACGUG